rnacentral:tRNA from 1 species
GCAUUGGUGGUUCAGUGGUAGAAUUCUUGUCUUUCCUGCAGAAGACCUAGGUUUGAUUCCUGGCCAACACA